CCUACGUGUGGCAGCAGUGAGGAAUAUUGGUCAAUGGACGAGAGUCUGAACCAGCCAAGUAGCGUGAAGGAUGACUGCCCUAUGGGUUGUAAACUUCUUUUAUAAAGGAAUAAAACGAGGCACGUGUGCCUUUUUGCAUGUACUUUAUGAAUAAGGAUCGGCUAACUCCGUGCCAGCAGCCGCGGUAAUACGGGGGAUCCGAGCGUUAUCCGGAUUUAUUGGGUUUAAAGGGAGCGUAGAUGGGUUGUUAAGUCAAUUGUGAAAGUUUGCGGCUCAACCGUGAAAUUGCAAUUGAUACUGGGAGUCUUGGGUACAGUUGAAGUAAGCGAAAUUCGUAGGGUAGCGGUGAAAUGCUGAGGUAUCACGAAGAACCCCGAUUGGGAAGGGAGCUUACUAAGCUGUAACUGACAUUGAUGCUCGAAAGUGUGGGUAUCAAACAGGAUUAGAUACCCCGAGUAGUC
rnacentral:rRNA from 1 species